UACGGGGGGGGUAAGCGUUGUUCGGAAUUACUGGGCGUAAAGGGCUCGUAGGCGGCCAACUAAGUCAUACGUGAUAUCCCUCAGCUUAACUGGGGAACUGCGUGUGAUACUGGAUGGCUUGGAUGUGGGAGAGGGAUGCGGAAUUCCAGGUGUAGCGGUGAAAUGCGUAGAUAUCUGGAGGAACACCGGUGGCGAAGGCGGCAUCCUGGACCAUUAUUGACGCUGAGGAGCGAAAGCCAGGGGAGCAAACGGG
rnacentral:rRNA from 1 species